GUCAAAAGAGAAUACAUUCCGUAGACAGCAGGGACUAAGCGUUUAAACAUCCUGCCGAGGGUUUAAAAGAGGGAAACUUCAAGCCUUUGCGUGUCUGUACGGAUAUGCAAAGGCUUUUGAUUUUGAAA
rfam:[Eubacterium] angustum strain DSM 1989 ETAN_contig000003, whole genome shotgun sequence.